CUGGACAUGAGUUCUUUGUCAGACAUGUGGUUUGCAAAUAUUUACCCUGUGGCUUUUCAUUCUCUUAAGAGCAUUUUUUUUUUUGCGGAGUAAGAGUUUUUAGUUUUGAGGAAGCUCAGUGUGUUGAUUUUCUCUUUUACGCAGUGCUUUUGAUGUUAGGUCUAAGGACUUCCACCAAGUCCUCACUCCCCAGCAUGUCCUCCUGUCUUCUUCUGACCCACUGAUGUGAUCGUGAGGCUUUUCUCAUAUGGUGGAUCGCACUGAUCGAUUUGCAGGUGUGAACCAGCCUUGCGUUCCCACUUGGCCGUGGUGAUAUUUCUUUGUGCAUGUUACUGAGUUCUCUUUGCUAACAUUUUGUUAAGGUCCUGGGUAGACUUUGCUUUAACUUCCUAUUAAGAGCCUGCCCGGAGAGCUCGCUGCUUUAGGGAGUUGUGAAAAGGCUCCAGGAGAGAGUAGGAAAAGUGAUCGGAAGGAUCUGAAAGCAAGGUCUCCAGGAAGGGCCAAAGUGGGGGGCGUAUGGUUUGG
rnacentral:lncRNA from 1 species